ACCUCGCGUCUACGCCUGGUUCUUGUCGUCGUCUUUGGAGGGAGAAGCAACGGGGAACGUACUGCCACUGGAUCCCAUCACCCUUGGAAGAUCUUCUCGUCCUGUGGGCCUUCGGAUCUUCAAGAUUUUUCUGGGAAUCUCCACCUUGGACACUUCGAGGGACAGACGAGGGACGAGGAACGACUACAUGAUUGAUGCCACCGUUUCGUUAACGAAGUCAUCAGAGGUAGUGUUGCUUAAUUUUGUAUUUAUAUCCUGCCAUGUACCCUCAAGCUCCAAGGUGAGCUGAAAUAAUUUACAAAGGAAAACACUUAGGAACUGAGGGGAAAAUUUGGGGAAAUGGGCCUCCAUGGCUACAAGGCAAAUAUAGUUAAUAGUGGCAUCUUCACUCACACGACUACAGCUUCAGAUGGAGGCACGUGUGUCUAGAAGUCAUUCUAAUGUACGAUUGCUCAGCCUCGGGGGGGAAAUGGCUCUUGCUUCUCUUGUGGGGGGUGGGUGGGUAAAUGAAACACUGGUGGGAACAAGGAGGAGACUGGGACUGAAUAUAUAAUGCUGCAAAACUUGGCAUAUUGUGCACAGAUAAUUUUUGGUUGCUGGUUCUGUCCCUUCCCAUCUCUUCGCCUAGGGAGCUUUGCUGGCCUUCAGUCUGACCGACCUGGGACUCCUUCCUGACAUCAAACAGAGCUGGUAAGGAGGGACACCAGAUCAGGCCUGUAAACACAGAUUGGUGCCCUGAAGUCCUGAGGCUUUGGGGAAUUUAAUAGGGUUUACAUUUCCUCAGAGCCUCCCCAAAGCAUUUUUACACUUGUGUUUCAUCUGUGUUGGCCAACACCCCUUUCCACGGGCAGAGAAAUGGUGCAGCGGAUAAAACUCUGCCUAGGUACUCCCUGUGCCUGGAGCCACGUCUAGGGGUUCCCCAUGUCCACCACAGGAAGGGCCACCUGCCCGGGAUUCAACUGCCUUCCUCCAGCGUCAGGCCCAGUUCAUUUGGGGGCCACUCUUUUCUAGGUCCUGCUCCUUCCCAAUAACUUUGCAGGUUCUUGAACCUACCAUUUAGAGAAAGGGCCUUGUGUUGUAUGCUCUUGGAAUGUUGGU
rnacentral:lncRNA from 1 species